rnacentral:lncRNA from 1 species
AACCACCACCAUCACCACCACUACACCACCCCAUUCAUCCAUCUUCAACCUUCAUUCAAGUAUCUAAGUUGAUCCAUGGAGGUUGCAUCUUGAAGGGCUUUCAAAGGAGCUUUGUUUCUUGCUUAUCCUUCAUCUUUUUCUCAUCAUCUUCAUCACUAGAUCCUACCCUAGCCUUGUGCUAGUAGUAACUAAGAUGGAUGUGCGCGCGGUCUUACCCAUGCUCGUGGAUCGAUGUAAACGCUAA